AAAGACGGUCUUGCUGUCACUUAUAGAUGGAUCCGCGCUGCAUUAGCUAGUUGGUAAGGUAACGGCUUACCAAGGCAACGAUGCAUAGCCGACCUGAGAGGGUGAUCGGCCACACUGGAACUGAGACACGGUCCAGACUCCUACGGGAGGCAGCAGUAGGGAAUCUUCCGCAAUGGGCGAAAGCCUGACGGAGCAACGCCGCGUGAGUGAUGAAGGUCUUCGGAUCGUAAAACUCUGUUAUUAGGGAAGAACAUAUGUGUAAGUAACUGUGCACAUCUUGACGGUACCUAAUCAGAAAGCCACGGCUAACUACGUGCCAGCAGCCGCGGUAAUACGUAGGUGGCAAGCGUUAUCCGGAAUUAUUGGGCGUAAAGCGCGCGUAGGCGGUUUUUUAAGUCUGAUGUGAAAGCCCACGGCUCAACCGUGGAGGGUCAUUGGAAACUGGAAAACUUGAGUGCAGAAGAGGAAAGUGGAAUUCCAUGUGUAGCGGUGAAAUGCGCAGAGAUAUGGAGGAACACCAGUGGCGAAGGCGACUUUCUGGUCUGUAACUGACGCUGAUGUGCGAAAG
rnacentral:rRNA from 1 species